rnacentral:lncRNA from 1 species
CAGUGGAAAUAUGAAUUUGAUUCUUUCAUUUGUGGUAGUGUCUAAAUUUACCAAAUAAGGAAUGAUUCUCGUCACCCAAGGUUUCAAUUGGACCGAAACUUGGAAUCAUGGAAGUUGUAUAGCAUGAUGGAUGAGAACUUUCAAACAUUGGAAAAAAUUAAGACUAACUACUUGUUCUCAUGGAUGUGUGAGUCAAGUAAAGGACUAAGGUAUCGAGUACACAUUCUUGUGCACUGGUUAAGUCCACCACGAAAGAUCGAUAAGACUAUUCGUCAUAAUUUACUAUAACUCAGUAAAUAUGGUUAUACUUACAAGCUUAAGUGUAAUUCUGAGACAUUGGAAUAGGUUCCAAUGUAUGGAAGAGCGAAUAAGAAGAAUAAACUUAGGCAGAAAGAUAAAAGUUUCUCAAAUCUGAAAAGAUAGGAGAGUACUUUAGUAUCAUGUUUUACGACCAUCUUAAUGAUUUUGAGACCGUAUCAUAAUUUCAUCCUCUAAGUGCAUUUUGAUAGUUAAGAAGAGGAGUUAUGAAUUGUUGAAGUGGUUAAAUCAAGAAGAUGAUUCAUACUUCGUUCUAAAAACAAUUCUUAGAGUUAUACUCUAAGAUUGUAACUUGAGUGACAUCUCUUAAAGAAGGUUUAAAACACUUGUCAAAUGUAAGAGUAAAAGUUUUCUACUCUUGUACAUUUGAAAUUGGUAAGUUGUGAUGUUUUGGAUAAAACAAAGACCAACUAAGGCCAAUUGUGUGAAGUGUUUGUCUUGAUUAGAAUCCACAUUAUCUCUUUAAUAUUUCACAAGAGAGUCGUAUAUGUCAAGAGGACAGUGGGAGUCUUAAAGGUCUUGAAAGUCUCAAGAACUAAUCAAGAAUAAAACCUGAAGUUCUUCACUAGCACACGACUUGAGGUUUAUAACCUAUCGUGUUGACAUAUUUUGUGCCCAUUCCAAUUAAAGUUGGCUUUGCAUAUGAGUUCUUAGAGUUCUNNNNNNNNNNNNNNNNNNNNNNNNNNNNNNNNNNNNNNNNNNNNNNNNNNNNNNNNNNNNNNNNNNNNNNNNNNNNNNNNNNNNNNNNNNNNNNNNNNNNNNNNNNNNNNNNNNNNNNNNNNNNNNNNNNNNNNNNNNNNNNNNNNNNNNNNNNNNNNNNNNNNNNNNNNNNNNNNNNNNNNNNNNNNNNNNNNNNNNNNNNNNNNNNNNNNNNNNNNNNNNNNNNNNNNNNNNNNNNNNNNNNNNNNNNNNNNNNNNNNNNNNNNNNNNNNNNNNNNNNNNNNNNNNNNNNNNNNNNNNNNNNNNNNNNNNNNNNNNNNNNNNNNNNNNNNNNNNNNNNNNNNNNNNNNNNNNNNNNNNNNNNNNNNNNNNNNNNNNNNNNNNNNNNNNNNNNNNNNNNNNNNNNNNNNNNNNNNNNNNNNNNNNNNNNNNNNNNNNNNNNNNNNNNNNNNNNNNNNNNNNNNNNNNNNNNNNNNNNNNNNNNNNNNNNNNNNNNNNNNNNNNNNNNNNNNNNNNNNNNNNNNNNNNNNNNNNNNNNNNNNNNNNNNNNNNNNNNNNNNNNNNNNNNNNNNNNNNNNNNNNNNNNNNNNNNNNNNNNNNNNNNNNNNNNNNNNNNNNNNNNNNNNNNNNNNNNNNNNNNNNNNNNNNNNNNNNNNNNNNNNNNNNNNNNNNNNNNNNNNNNNNNNNNNNNNNNNNNNNNNNNNNNNNNNNNNNNNNNNNNNNNNNNNNNNNNNNNNNNNNNNNNNNNNNNNNNNNNNNNNNNNNNNNNNNNNNNNNNNNNNNNNNNNNNNNNNNNNNNNNNNNNNNNNNNNNNNNNNNNNNNNNNNNNNNNNNNNNNNNNNNNNNNNNNNNNNNNNNNNNNNNNNNNNNNNNNNNNNNNNNNNNNNNNNNNNNNNNNNNNNNNNNNNNNNNNNNNNNNNNNNNNNNNNNNNNNNNNNNNNNNNNNNNNNNNNNNNNNNNNNNNNNNNNNNNNNNNNNNNNNNNNNNNNNNNNNNNNNNNNNNNNNNNNNNNNNNNNNNNNNNNNNNNNNNNNNNNNNNNNNNNNNNNNNNNNNNNNNNNNNNNNNNNNNNNNNNNNNNNNNNNNNNNNNNNNNNNNNNNNNNNNNNNNNNNNNNNNNNNNNNNNNNNNNNNAAUGUUAAUUAUAGAAAACAAAAGGUUUCAAUUGGGAAAAGGUUGUUUUGCUAUAAUUAAGGGAGAGGAAAUUAUACUUCAUUUCAAUUCUAAAAAGCUUAGAUUGAGUUUUUAAUCAUCUUUACUCAAGGAUACACACACACACACACACACACACACACACAUAUAUAUAUAUAUAUAUAUAUAUAUAUAUAUAUAUAUAUAUAUAUGAAUUUCAUGUUGGAAUGGCUCAACAUAAGGAAAUUCAAUAUGUGGGUCCAUUAUUUGCGUUCUAAAAUUCGAUUAUGAUUACGGCACUCCUUUUCAUAAUUUGAAUUAUGAGAACUUGGCAAAUUGAAAUGGAAAUAUUAUAGCACAAGACUGGUUUAGUUUUUAUGUGAGAUAUCAUGAAUCGUGUCCCAUAUGCUUCGGAUAUAGGAUCAAUUACAUGUGUUAUAUUCAUCCUUUCUAAACUUUUCCAAAUGCUUGGGGCAUUAAGAAGGGAAAAGGUCUAGAAUUAGAUAUGACUAAAAGGAUUAAACAAUUGUCGAGGACAAUCUAAGGUUUACCAAAGAUUGGUUGCUCAAGGACAGUUGGAAGUAUAGUGAUAAUUCUGGAAGGACCAUAUUGACAAUAUCUGUAAGGAGGCAACUCUUGUUCAGAAUUGAUAGUCGAAAUGGAAUGUGGAAAUGUUUCAAAGUGAGAAAUUAUUCAAUCUGUGUAAGAUUAGGAAACUUAAUGCAAGAAGGAUGUUUCCAAGGAGCUGAUCUCCUUUGGAAUGCUCUGUAAUGGAUGUUGUCAAGUCUUUCUGACUUUGUGCAUAAUCAUUACAAGAGGAUCAAUGCAUAUAAGUUUAGAAUCUAACAGUUUUCAAUAAAUGGCAUGAAUUUGGAAUUCUUGCAUUUGUAGUUAGCAUUUGGGACUAUGAAAUGAGAAUCAUUGGAGUUAUGUUCAAUCGAUCUCUUUCACAAGUAAAGAUCAUAGACAAACAUAGUAUGCAUACUUGGUGUAUGGCAUGACUAGUGUUUAAAAAACAUAGUGUACAUGCUUGGAGCAUGGGACAACUAUUGUUUUAAUUCCAGAAUAAAGCUAAUAGCUGAAACAAGAUACAAUGAAUAAUGCGUAAUCAUAUGGUGAUAAAUAAAAGGUGUUUUGUUUAUGUUCAUAGGUUUUGAUACCAUAUUAGAUUCAAUUAUUAUUGUGUUUCAUUUUGCAUGUUUUGACUUCCCGAAUAAAUAGGUUGUUCUUCCUGAAUGACUAAGUUAUUCAAAUCAUCCAUAGUCGGUCAUAUGUUGGAAGUAGAUAUGAAUCAAGACUGUCAUGGGUUGGCUUGUAGAGGUCUAAGAUGUUGGACAAAGGGCUACAACACUCAUGAGUGCUUAUAAGUUCUGAGUAUUGGAUUCAACCCACGCUCAUUGGAAUCACUUCAUGGAUUUUAUCACGAGUGAUCAUGAGACGAUAAUAUCUUAUAUUCUUCAAACCUAGAGAUAUGAGUUGUUACUAUGAGUUGGUUGUACAUUGAUUGCAUGAAAAUGCAUUCGGUAACUCGAUGUUAUAAAACGUGCCUUUGUGUAUGAUUCAACAAGUAGUAGAACAAGCCAUAUGAGUCGAAGUUUAUCCAUUCCUUUUACCUUCGGGAUAAAAGCGAUAUUUGUGGGCCCCUCGAUGAUUUGGUGAUGACAAAUGUAAGUGCUCGGCCGGGCCUGGACUGAUUUGAUUUGUUCAAUUAGUCAAUCGUCAUAAAUCGGAAAUCGGGAAACAACAAAUGGACAGAGAGAAUGAUUAUAAUCCAUGUCUCAGUCCAUAUGAUAUCUAGAAUGGAGGAAUAUAUGAUCCCUUAUCUAAUGGACAAGUCAUUGACAAAGGUUAGAGUUCAUCUACAAGGUCAGAGUUCAACAGAAGCUUUUUAGAGCUACGAUUGUCAGUCGAUUCUUGAAGUACUCAUACAUAAUAAUAGUUUUAGACUUAUCUAAGUGGGAGACUAUUGGAUUAAUGUCUAAGUCCAUAACUAUAAUUGGUAAGACUUGACCCGACCCGGCAGGGUCCAUUUGGGUUGCAUGACAUCAUGGAUUUGGAUAGACUAAAAUGAGAGAAAUAACACUUAAGGUUUGUUAAUAUAUUAUACGUUCUAAUAUAUUAAUAAAAUUAUUUAAUUAGUAUUGAUCAAUAAUUAAUCUAGGAUUGAUUAGGUGAUCAAAAGAAGACUAAUUAAAUAUAUGGGUUGAUUGUGUAAAUCAUCCAUACUUAUAUAGUGGGCUAAUGCUCUAUGGAUUGUCAUGUUGGGAUAAAAUCCAUAAGAUGCUCCAUGGUGUAUUUGUAUCCAUGGAUCAUGGAAAUAAAAGGCCAUGACAAUUAGGGUUUACAUGGUGUAACCAUAACUAUAUAAUGAUCUUAUUCUUGGAGAAAAUCGGCCACUAUGGGUAAUAAAAAGGGCUAGCCGAUUUUCAUGAAGUGUGAAUUUCUCUCAAGUCAUUCCAUGUGUAUUUGGUGUUGUGUGAACCAUUUGAGGUGUCACACUUGGGGCACUAGGCACUCAAGCUUCAUGAAGACAAUCUACAUCAAAGAGGUAUGUAAUUCUAACUUGAUAUAUUCAUUUGAAUCAAUGUUAUUAUGCUAGUUAGGAUGAAUACCUUAGAAAGUUCAUAUUUGUAUGUAUAAUAGAGAAAACAUAGAUCCAAGGUAUUCAGGGUUGCAUGUACACUUAGGAGUGUUAGAAUGCUCAUAACCCAACAAUAAAGAACUUCGAAAACGGAGCUCGCAUGCGAUAGUUACGGGGUUUUGAGGUCGGCAGGGUGCUUGUGUGAUGGAAACAUACGAAUGGGCCGAACCUCACUUGGGAAACAGAGAGUGACAUGAUGAGUCGCUAUCCACAUAUGUUUGCUGAUGCGUGAUUCCGAGACAGAAUCAUCCUAAGGGGAGAGAGAAUUGUAACUCCCAUGAUUUUAGGCUAAGCAUUAGUAUGAUGAUGUAAUAGUAAGGGUCAACCAUUGUAACCGACUUUCAAUUAAUAAAGAGAAAUUACUUGAAUAUUAUGUGAAUUAUGUGAUUUUAUGUGCAUUAUAAUUAUUUAUAAAAUAAAAUAAAUUAAGAGUGAAAAUAAGCGUCAAAAAUAAAAGUGUGGAUAAAGAAAAUAUCUAUGUGGUCAUGACAAGGAUUCUUGAAAUAUAAAGAACACCGAAAUUCGAGUUAUAAUGAAGAAAUUAUGACGUGUUGAAAUUUUACAACAAAACCGGCAUGACAACAAGAAUCGUAAAAAGUGAAUUUUGAUAAAUUACUUUUUAUCCUUAGAUAUCUAAAUGAAAGUUGUAGUAUACGUUAAACCGAGAGUGUGAAUAAAAAGAACAUCAAAUUUUGACCUUGUAUGAGCAACUUAUGAUUUUUCUAAGAUUUCACAUAGCAGUAUAUAGCCCGAAAUUCAAGUUUCAGAUUGAGCGAUUUUUGGCCGAAUCAAACUAAAUGAGAUUUCGAUAUCUCAUUAAUAGUAGUUCAACGAUAAAAAGAAAGUCGAAAACGGAGUCCGUAUGUAGAAGUUAUGAAUUUUACACACUCGUUAACAAUGUAAUAUUCUCAUACGGUUUAAUUUAAUUCGGUCGAGAAUUAGCUGACAGAGUCUAAAUGAAAGUUUUAGAUUAUGUGUCCACCUACUCGUGGAUAUAAAGAACUUCGAAAACGGAGCUCGUAUGCGAAAGUUAUGGGGAUUUGAGGUCGGUAGGGUGCUUGUGUGAUGGAAACAUACGAAUGGGCCGAACCUCACCUGGGAAACAGAGAGUGACAUGAUGAGUCACUAUCCACAUCUAUUUUGUUGAUGUGUGAUUCCGGGACAGAAUCAUCCUGAGGGGGAGAGAAUUAUAACUCCCAUGUUAGUAGGCUAAGCAUUAGUGUGAUGAUGUAAUAGUUAGGGUCAACCAUUGUAACCCACUUUCAAUUAAUAAAGAGGAAUUACUUGAAUAUUAUAUGAAUUAUGUGAUUUUAUGUGCAUUAUACUUAUUUAUAAAAUAUAAUAAAUUAAGAGUGGAAAUAACCAUCAAAAAUAAAAGUGUGGAUAAAGAAAAUAUAUAUGAAGAAAGUGGUAGUGCUCGUGACAAGGAUUCUGGAAAUAUAAAGAACGCCGAAAUCCGAGUUAUAAUGAAGAAAUUAUGACAUGUGAAAAUUUUACAGCAAAACCGGCACAACACCGGGAAUUGUAAAAAGUGAAUUUUUGAUAAAUUACUUGUUAUCCUUAGAUAUCUAAAUGAAAGUUGUAGUAUACGUUAAACCGAGAGUGUGCAUAAAAAGAACGUCAAAUUUUGACUUUGUAUGAGGAAGUUAUGAUUUUUCUAGGAUUUCGCAUAGCAGUAUACAGCCCAAAAUUCGAGUUUCAGAUCGAGCGAUUUUUGGUCGACUCAACCUAAAUGAGAGUUGAAUAUCUCAUUAAUAGUAGUUUAACGAUAAAAAGACAGUCGAAAACAGAGUCCAUAUGUAGAAGUUAUGAAUUUUACAAGAUCGUUAACAAUGUAAUAUUCUCAUACGGUUUAAUUUAAAUAAGUCGAGAAUUAGCUGACAAAGUCUAAAUGAAAGUUGUAGAUUAUGUCUCCACCUACUCGUGGAUAUAAAGAACUUUCAAAACAAAGCUCGUAUGUAAAAGUUACGGGGUUUUGAGGUCGGCAGGGUGCUGCAGCAAAGGGGGUGACGUGGCUGAAUCUGGGCCAUUGCUUUCUCCCCAUGUCCUACCACCAGAUGAUAAAAUCUGGCACCAAGUUGAGCCAUAUUUCAUCCUAUAAAUAGAACUCCUUCCACCCUCAUUUCAUCACACCUCCACCUUUCUCUUUCUCUCUCUAACUACUCUUUAAACCUCCCAACCCCCCCCCACCCCCCCCCCNNNNNNNNNNNNNNNNNNNNNNNNNNNNNNNNNNNNNNNNNNNNNNNNNNNNNNNNNNNNNNNNNNNNNNNNNCUAAAGCCCUAGGAAACUCCUCUAGUGAUAGAAGAAAGCUCCAGAGACGACUCCAAGAAAAAGAGCUUUUCGGCUUAGAAAGUCUGCUCCAACAAAGCCCAGUUUUUAGUAAAACAUGUUGUAAGUGAGAUAUGCCUACCCUACAUUAAAUAUAGCUUAUAUUUAAAUAUAAUAUCGUUAUUAUGAACCUAUAAAUAAAAUUUAUUAGUAAUUCAAAGUCGUUAUACUGAUUGAUCUACUUACAGGAAUGAUGUCUAAGCUGUGAUUUAGUGAGGUGUUUAAAAUGGGAUUUCCAAACAGUAUACUCCGUAUACCAAACGGACCAUACCUCCGAUAUGAUCCUACAUGGUUGUUCCUCACUUGAUAGAUCAUGAAGUAGACUCUUAGUUAAUGAUGAGUCUAGACUGAUAAUUAGUCGUAGUGAAUAUUAGACGCAAAUCUAAUGGUAAUGAUACUAGGUUUCAUCGAUGUAAAAUAAAUUAAGCAAAGUGUUGUCUAAGUUCAGAAUCACCACCUUAACAGGUGAGUGCAUUGUUACUUUCAUCUUACACAUAGAUAUGAAGUAUUUUAUAUAAAUUAUGUGUUAUGUGUGCAUAUUAUCUGUUUACUUGAUAUCUAUGUUGGAUGAACAUUUUUAUACAAGUUUUAAACGAUUUAAAUUGUAUAUGUAUUUUUUAUCUACAAAAAUGUUUGGGUAAAACAUUAGUUGAUGAAAUAGACGAUGUGUGAUAAAAUGAUGAGAAGCCACGAUGUUGACGAUGAUUUAAUCAUCUGGAGGAGUAUGGAUGACGAUCACAGACUAUUCUAGACAGUCCAGUGGAAUGCUAGUAGGGUCACAACCUAUAGGUGUUUGUGAACGAUGUGUUCACUGGUGUACUCCAUCUCCCCCAUGCUUUCCUUACAGAUAAUUAUUGCUGAGGAACCUGUGACAUCCCCAAUUUUCACGGCCAAAAAAGACUGAUUUUGUUUAUGCUUUGUAAAAAAAAAAUCAGAGUACUUCAUUUCAUAAAAAUGUUGCGGAAUUUGUUCCCAGAAAAACACGAUAAAUACGUUAUCAAAACAUUUUCGAAGAAACGUAUUUUAUUCAUUUUAAAACAUUUGGGAUGUCAUUGUCAAUACAGAAACAUAAGCAUAAACAGAACUUACAUUUAUUUACACUAGUGAUCUACAUCUCUUUAAUCUCUCAGUGUAAUGUGACUUCAUAUCAACACCUGUGAUAUAAAUAAACUGAGUGGGUCAGGUUGGGAAACCUGGUGAGUACAUAGGGUUUUCAACCCACAAUAAUAUAAUUAUUAUGUUUAAACAAUCAAACAAUCAACCCAAUUACCCUUCCCCAUUAUCUUCUUUACUCUUAAGGAUUUAUCCUAAGAGUCAUCUAUCCUGCAUUCGUUUAUUCCGAAGUCCCCUACUUCCAGGGUUAUAGGACUGACACUAAAUCCAUAGCUGCCAAUGUUCGUUCAUAAAGCACUAAUUCCAUAGCUGCUAUAGUCUAUUCAUCGGGUACUAAAUCCAUAGCUACCAGUGUUUAUCUAAUAGGUACUAAGUCCAUAGCUACCAAUUCCUAACAGGUACUAACUCCAUAGCUACCAGUGUUUGUCCAAUAGGCACUAAGUCCAUAGCUGCCGAUGUUUAUUAGGCACUAAGUCUAUAGAUGCCAAUGUUUACUCACAUCAUCUUUUAUCUCUCAUCAUUCAUUUACCCAUGUCAUACCCAACAUAUUCGUAUAUAUAAAAUACGUAUACAGUUUAAAUCAUUUAAAACAUGUAUAAAAAUCUUUCACCCAGCAUAGACAGCAAGUAUUCAGACAAUAUGCACACACAACACGUAAUUUAUAUUAAAAUACUUCAUAUCUAUGUGUAAGAUGAAAGGGACUAUGCACUCACCUGAAAGGUGGUGACUUAGCACUCGGACAUCGCUUCGAUACUCUCAAAACAAUUUUCCUUCGAUAAAACCUAGUAUCAAUAUCACUAGGGUUUAGUCUAACGAUAACCGCGACAAAUUAAUAGCCUGACUAUUAUUAUUAUUAUAUAAGCGUUAAAUAACACUCAAUAUAACUCAUAAUAAUAGCCCAAAUAAUUGUUUUAAGGACCUAAUAACAUUACUAUAAUUAUUUGGAGGCUAUAUUAAAAAUUGCGUAAGCGUAGCUCACUUACAACAAAUUUUAUCAGAAACUAGAACUUUAUUUGGAGCAGCGUUUCGAAACCGAAAGACCCUUUUUCUCGGGAAUCCGGGAGCCUCGGGGCUUCCUUCGGGUGCUAGGGAGGUUCCCUAGGGUUUAGGAGGGUUUUGGGAGGCUAGAGAGAGAAAGUAGAGAGAUAAAGAGAAGUUGGAAGGUGUGAGAAAUGAGGGUGCCCCGACUCCCUUUUUAUAGGCUGGAAAUGCCAAAAACUCGUCGAGUUGGCCUCAAACUCGUCGAGUUCCAGGCCAGGUGUCACCAUCUGGUGGCUAGCCUUGGGGAGGAAGCAAUGGCCAGGAUUGCGCCACGUCACCCGAUUUCGCACCGCAGCCUCUCGACUUAGAAAAAUCAUAAAUCUCGCAUACGAGCUUCGUUUUUGACGUUCUUUUUUUUCACGCGUAGAUAAAAACAAGAUCUACAACUUUCAUUUAGACUCCGUCGGCUAAUUCUCGACCGAUCUUAAAUUUAACGGUAGGAGGAGAUUAGGCUGUUAAAUGACCGCGAAGAAUUCGUAACUCCUUCAUACGGACUCCGUUUUCGUCUGUCUUUUUAUCAUUGAGUUCCUAUUAACGAGAUCUUCAACUCUCAUUUAGGUCGCGUAAGCCAAAAACCGCUCGAACUAAAAUUCGAGUUUCGGGUUGUACACUACUAAGCCGAAACUUCGAAAAAUCAUAACUUCCUCAUACGAAGUCAAAUUUGGGCGUUCUUUUUAUGUACGCUCUCGGUUUAACGUAUACUACAACUUUUGGUUAAAUCACUAAGGCUAAAAAGUCAUGUAUUGUAAAUUCACUAUUUACGUCUCCCGGUGUCGUGCCGGUUUUGCCGAAAAACUUCAAUAGGCCAUAACUUCUUCGUUAUAACUCGGAUUUCGGCGUUCUUUAUAUGUACAGAAACCUUGACACAUAUUCUACAACUUGGUUAAGAUUACUUAUUCUAAAUAAUCUUUUGUUGAAAAGUCAUUUUCGACCCCUAUUAUCUCUAAAUUGAGUAGCCCGGAUCUACGGGCGUUACAGAACCCCCUUUGCAGUAUCGUCCACCCCCAUGAAAAUCCUUAGGCUAGGUCCCUUAUAUUAGAUGUUUUAGGGACGUAAAGUGAGGAUAACGGAAAUGGGUAAUAGGGUUUGAUGAAAUAAAUAAACUUAUUUAUUGUGGGUUGAAAACCCUAUAUGCUCACCAAGCUCCUAAGCCUGACAAACUCAGUUUCUUGUAUUACAGGUAGUGGCAAAAGAACAUAGUUGGAUGACUUGAUGAGGGAUUCUAGAUAAUAGGCCAGUAGAUAAAAAUAAAUGUUGUUAGACCUAUGUUGUUCUGUUUAUGCUUAUGAUCAUUAUCGAACAUGACAUCCCGAGGUUUUAAUAUAAUGAAAUACAUUUUUUCGGAAAUGCUUCGAUAAUUUCUUUUUAUCAUAUUUAUCUUUUAGGAACAAAUUUUGCAAUACUUUUGUUUAAAAGGGUACUCUGAUUUUCAAAUAGAGCAUAAAUAAAUCGGUCUUUUCUGGUCGUGAAAUUGGGGAUGUCAAAGUUGGUAUCAGAGCAUUAGUUUAAGGGAACUAGGAAUUUGUAGGAUUUCUAGGCUUAAACUUAGAAUGCUAAACGAUGAUUGUAAGAUGAGUGUCUACUAUAUCUUAGACAGAAGCACUAGCUUAUUUUAGGAAAGAUGCCUAAUAUGCUUUUAUGUGCUAAAUGCUUUAUGUUAUAGCUAUAAAGAUGCCUUAUAUACUAGUAUUUGUUCGGAUCUAUGGUCUAUUGCCGACCGGAUCUAGAAACCUUAUGUGUUUAGGAUUCUAAACAUUCGACUACGAUAUUAGAACCGGCAUGUAACCUUUCGGAAUGACAAGGAGGAUUUAAAUGUCUAUCAUAAAUAAAGAUUUCCCUAUCUUAAUAUUAUCGUCUCAAACUUCUACUUGGUGCCUAUUGAACUCUCAAAGAUAGAGAGGUUUGCUAACGGAUUGUCAACAGACAUUGGCCCAAUUGUCAAAAUGGCAACUACUUUGAAGAAAGUCGUUAGAGCAACCCAGUUAAGGGAGAAGGGCCUGGAGAGAUCUGAGGUAGGAAAGAAAAUGAAGUUUGAUGGAUCUUCAAGGGCCCUACAAGAAAAGAAAAUUAUCAAAGUCUAGUUCUAAGAAACUCGGAGGAGGAGGAUGUGAAGCGAAGUGGUGCGAAAAUUUCAAGAAGAAGCACCAUAGGAAAUGUGAUGUAGAGGGCACAUGUUUUAAUUGUAGAAAGCCUAGGCACUAUGCAUUUGAAUGCUGUAACAACCCAAUAUUUCAAAUCAAUGUAAUAAUAUAAGUCAAGCAUUGUAACUUAUUUUUAAUGAAAACAACGUCAAAAAUACAUUGUUCUAUAAUUUUUGUUGGGAAAAAUAAUGUAAUAGAUAUUACAAUGAGGUUUUAAAAAAUAUGAAGAACACUAAAAUCCGAGUUAUAACGAAGAAGCUAUGACCAAUCGAAGAUCCGCGACAAAACCGGUAAAACACCGUUAAGCGUAAAAAGUGAUUUUUCAAUAAAUUGCUUUUUAGCCUUAACAAUCUAAAUAAAAGUCGUACGAUACGUUAAACCGUCAAUUUCCAAAAAAGAAAAUUGAAAUCUGACUUCGUAUGAGGGAGUUAUGAUUUUUCUAAGAUUCGACAUAGCAGUACACAGUCCAAAAGUCUGUUUAAAGAUCGAGUGAUUUUUAGACAACACAACUUAAACAAGAAUCGAAGAUCUCGUUAAUAGUAACAUAACGAUAAAAAGACAGACAAAAACGGACGUCAAAUGAAGAAGUCAUGAAUUUUUAACGGAUUUUCCUGUCCCGGCCUGUUAAAAAUAUAACUUUAAAAAUAAAGUCAAAACUAGCCGACGGAGUCUAAAGAAAAUUGUAGAUCAAAGUCUCACCUACGCGUGGAUAUAAAGAACAUCAAAAAGGGACUCACUUUUUUGGGUCCUAUUCCUUGUUUGGAUGUUGGCUUAUAGUAUCGGUUAUUUGUCCGCAUAUCAUUUAAAUUUUACUUAUAUAUAAUAGUACAUGUAUAUAAAUAUAAAAGUUAUUUCAUUCAAUUUAAUUACCCUUUUUAACAUGUUGAGCAAGGGGUUAAAUUCAUAAAAAGUUAGUAUUAAUUCAGAAAGUACAUACAAAUUAUAAUAGGUAUAAUUUAUGAUACAUAAAACAUUAAUUCACGAUUCAAGUAUACUAGAACACACCGUUUUAAAAGAAACAAGGGUUUAAUUCAAAACAAAUCAAGGGUAUACAGCUUUCAAAUACAUGUUAAGAAUACUAGUUCAGAAAUAUACAAUCAAUCAUUAUUUCAGGAUGAUUGGGUUUUCAUAACUAUUAUACAUGUAACGUCUAUAUGCUUUUUAUGAGUCAUUUGGUUCAGGUUGUUUAGCUUAUUUAAACAACAUAGUUAAAGUUCUGACAUUAUAACUAGAAUCUCCAGUCGGGGAUCGGAAAAACGUGUGCAUAGAUCUACAUUGGGAAUGACAACCCCACACUCAAGUUGCUAGCUAUAGUCAGGCAUACAUGCCUAUGAGUGAUAAUUGUUAUCAACAGUUUUAAUGCCUUCAAAGCAUUGUUUCAGGCCAUCUAGUCUCAGUAUGGUUAUAAUAACUCAUUAAAAAGAUAUUAACAAAACGGUCAGUGUAUAAUUAACUAAACAUGAGUACCUUUUUCAAAGUACCAGUUUACCAAAGAUACAUUUUACAGUAUUGCAUAUCAGUAUUCAACAACAGCUGAUGAAGCCAGGCACACUCUCUUUUAUAGUUUAUAUAAAAAGGAUACAAAAGUAGAACAUUGGUUUACAAUAGAACGGUUUUAUGGGAUUAAAACUACUUUUCAUAUACAUCAGAAAAUAUAGGAUUUUCUGGAACUGUUUACACAUUGAAGAAACAGAGAACAUACUUCCAAAUAUAAAUACUUAUGCACUCACUCAACUUUAUGUUGAUACUAUCUUUUCAAAUUAUUUGCAUUCUCAGGGAACCAGUAGACAGGUACUCCCCGAACUUUUGAGAAGAUGGAGCUAUUUUGAGUCAUGUCUUCUUCUUUUGUAUAACUAUUUUGGUGUCAAUAUACAUUGAUUGAACACAUGUAAAUAUUUAUUUUUCUUUUAAAUACAAUGGUUGUUUUUACUUUGAUUACUAUGAUGCAUGUGUUGUGAUACUACAAAUGAAGUCCUCCACCCCCGGACAUUUCCGCCGUCUGGUUUGGGGGUGUGACAGGUUAAUAUCAGAGCAUUUGUUUAUAGUGAACUUAGUAUAUCAAUCCAUAAAAUAUAUACAAACUAUAAAUACAUUGGGGUUGAAAGCUUUGACUACAAAGUACACUUUUUAAAUUUUGAAUAUUUUUAUAAGAAGUAUACUAACACUUAUACAUACAAGUACAAUGUCAUAGUCAUAGCAACAUAAAAGUAUUUAGUUAUUGAAUAUUAUAGUCAAACUUGAGCAGUUAUGUAAUUAUAUAUGGGAUCAAUAUAGACUGAUCAACUAUAUUGGUUUGAGAUAUAACUAACAUGUGUUUGGGAGUGAUGGUAAAAUCGCGACAUGUCUAAAACUUACCGACUAAACAUAUACAUAAGAACUCUGAACCAAAACAUAAAGUUAAAAUACCAUAGGAGUAUUUUAGGCACUAUAUACAAUUGAUAAACAUGUGAAAACAAAAGAAACAUUGUAAGUAUUGCUAUAAAUAUUAAGGGUGUAUUACAUUUAUAUCUAAUUAAAGAUAUGUAGACUUAGAAUAUGUAAUCUAGCUUCAUUUCAUGUUCCUUGUUUGGUUGUGGAUUUAGAGCAGGAUCAUUUAAUCGAAGGUCAAUUAUACCCAAGUUAUAUAUAAUUAGUAUACACGUUAUUGUUAUAAUAAUUCUUUAUCUGUUAACUUUAAGUUUCUUUCGUGGAAACUUGUAAUUCUAAUUUAUCAUUACUAAUUAUAUUCUAUUCUUAGUGUCGCAAAGAUACAAUGGUCGGAUCUCAUUUAUUAGGGGACCCUUAUUUUCCGAAUCAUGGUAACGAAGGAUGGAUAGUAGAGGAUCCGGAAGAGGAUCUAAAGGAAGAGAAUCCAGAAGAAGAGGAAGAAGAAGAUGAAGAUGCAGAGUCAGAGGGUACCGAAACAGAACCUAUGGUAUACAAUCCUCCACCAUUAGUCCCACCUCCAGUAGUCAGGGAAGGAUUUCAAGGGCCAACACCAGUUUGGGGAGACCACAUAUAUCACUGGAGCAAACAACAGGUCCAACGCCCACCGUAUGGAACGUGUCGAGAUUUCUAUGACCUCUGUAAUGGAGACAACAGGGCCAACGCCCACCUUUUGGAAUGUGCUGAGAUUUCUAUGACCUCGGUAGGUCAAUUAGUUGUCGAUGUUUUCCCACUGUUGUGGUAUAUUAUAGACCUACUUUAAGGUCGAGUUUUCCAGACUACGUGUACUUAAUAUACCAAUACAAUCGACAUGUAUUUUCAUACUCUUUGAAAAAUAACCAUUCAAAUCCAUAUUAUCCUGUUGCAAGUUGUACUUGUAGUGGACUCCUAUUUCCAAUUCUUUACAAGAUUCAUAUUGAAUUAAGUGUUUAGUUCAGAGAUAUCAAAUUCAUUUUAAUUCUUGAUAUCUUAUCAUCUUUUUAUCUUUUAACCUUGAUAGUAAAAGUUGCCUCCUCAGAGAAAUCCAAGACGUAACAACAUCAAUGAAGCACCAACACCACCUCCGCCACCACUUCCUCAAUUUGACGCUGCUAUGUUUCAAGUGACGAUCACGACAGGUGUUGUAGCUACCAUGUCUCAUAUCAACACUCCUGGUGCUAGUGGGUCGGGAACUGGUGCACACCCUACCAACCAUGGCGAAAGUUAGGGAAACUCGCAAGAGUGUACCUAUAAAGAAUUCUCGAAUGCCAAACCCAGCACCUUUAAUGGAACUCGAGGAGUAAUGGUUUUAAAAUAAUGGAUUGAGAAGACAGAAGCAAUCUUUGAAAUUUGCUCCUGUCCAGAGAGCAGCAAAGUCAAAUUCGUUGUUUGUACCUUUUCGGAUAGAGCUUUAACAUGGAGGAAUGCCCAUGCUAAGUCACUGACUUAGGUAGUGGCUAACUCGAUAAGUUGGGAGAACUUAAAAACCAUGUUGAUGUAGGAAUACUGUCCGCGAGGGGAAAUUCAGAAACUUAAGCAAGAGCUCUGGGGUCUUACAAUAGUUGGUUCUGAUAUAAUAACCUACAUGAACCGAUUAUGUGACUUGGCAACCAUUUGUCAAGAAAUGGUUACUCUGGAGAGCAAAAAGAUUGAAAGGUAUAUUUGUGGAUUGUCGCCCUAGAUACAGGCAAGUGUCAUCGCCCCAGAUACAGGAAAGUGUAACUUAUUGACCACAUAAAUCAUCAAAACUCUGUGGUGGCUGCCCCAGAACAUCCUAAGGAGAACAAUAACAACAACAACAACAAGGGUUGGAACAAGAGGAAGGGCAAAUCUCCUCAGGAAAUUUCAAAGAUGCAACAAGUAGUGGCAGUCCAUGCUGCUACUGUACCUGCUCCUGUUCCUGUUAACCCUGUACCAGCUAAGCCCUAUGCUGGUAACCUCCCUAAAUGCAACAAGUGCAAUUUUCACUACAACGGAAAUUUCUAAGAAAUGCAGUGUCGUAACUACAACAAAAAGGGGCAUAUUACCCGAUUCUGUAGGUCACCACCCCAACCGAUUAACCAAGUACCUACUGCUGGAGUAGGUCAAGCAUGCUAUCAAUGUGGUGAUGUGGGGCAUUUUAAGAGAAACAGUAUGAAAUCUGGAAAUGUUGGUGGAGUUAGGAGAAUUCUAGCAUUGAGCCAUGAAGAAGCAGUGGCAGACCCUGCGGUGGUCACGGGUAUGUUUCUUCUCAACAACAUUUAUGCAUGCAUUCUAUUUGAUUGUGGUGCUGAGAGGAGCUUUGUGAGCCAACCACUAAGUGAAACUUUCACAGUCGAAAUGGCUAACAGGAAAUCCGAAUCCACCAACUAUAUAUACAUAGGAUGUACCGUUACCUUGAAUAAUUUUUCUUUCCCAAUAGACCUUAUGUCGGUCUCUAUCAAAAGUUUUGACAUUAUAAUAGGUAUGGAUUGGUUGUGCCUUAACCAUGAUGAGAUCCUAUGCUAUGAAAGAGUUAUUCGCUUGAACUUGCCAACUAAUGAAACACUUAUUAUCUACGGCGAAAAACCUGGAACGAACCUUCAGAUCAUUUCUUGCAUCAAGGCACAGAAGUACCUUCACAAGGAGUAUUGUGCUUUCUUAGCUCAUGUGGUAGAAAAAAAGAAAGAAGAGAAAAGAUAUCACGAGUAUUUCUGAAUCUGUAACUUUCCCGACAUAUUUCCUGACGACCUUCCAGGAGUACCUCCUGAACAACAAGUUGAAUUUAGAAUCGACUUAAUUCCUGGGGCUACCCCUAUAGCCAAAUCCCCCUAUCAUCUUGUAGCAUCGGAAAUGCAGGAAUUAUCCAGCCAACUGAAUGAACUCCUUAGUAAAGGCUUCAUACGACCAAGGUUCUCACCAUGGGGAGCACUGGUUUUGUUCGUGAAGAAGAAGGAUGGGUCAGUCUGCAUGUGCAUAGACUACCGCAAGCUAAAUAAACUUACCAUCAAGAAUCGAUAUCCUUUUCCUCGCAUCGAUGAUCUGUUUGACUAACUUCAAGGUGCGAGCUACUUCACGAAAAUAGACUUGAGAUCCGGGUAUCAUUAGCUACGGAUUUUGGAGGAUGACAUUCCCAAAACAACAUUCAGAACUCGUUAUGGUCAUUAUGACUUUGUAGUGGUGCCUUUCGGAUUGAGGAAUGCACCUGUUGUGUUCAUGGACUUAAUGAACAACGUGUGCCUUCUGUACCUAGACAAAUUAGUCAUAGUCUUUAUUGACGACAACCUUAUCUACUCGAGAAGCGAAGAAGAGCAUGGCCAAUAUCUUCGUCAAGUAUUACAAACUCUGAGAACAGAGAAACUCUAUGCGAAGUUCUCAAAAUGUGAAUUUUGGAUCAGGAAAGUAGAUUUCCUAGGUCACAUAGUUAGUUCGGAGGGAAUACACGUGGACCCUUCCAAAAUAAAGGCAAUUGAGAAUUGGUCAACACCCAAAACACCUACAGAAAUCCGACAAUCCUUAGGCCUUGCUGGCUAUUAUCGCAGAUUUAUUCAGAAUUUCUCCCGAAUUGUUAAACCGCUUACCACCCUAACACAAAAGGGUGUAACUUUUAGUUGGGGGGAAAAGCAAGAAAUAGCUUUCCAAACGCUAAAGCGAGAUUUAUGCAGUGCACCGAUCUUGUCUCUACCUGAAGGGACAGAAGACUUUCUAGCAUACUAUGAUGCUUCAAAUCAAGCACUUGGAUGUGUUCUGAUGCAACGAGGAAAGGUUAUAUCCUACGCCUCGAGACAGCUCAAGGCACAUGAGAUCAACUAUACAACACAUGACCUUGAAUUAGGAGCCGUGGUUUUUGCUCUAAAGACAUGGAGACAUUACUUAUAUGGCAUGAAAUGCACAAUGCUCAUGGACCAUAAAUGUCUUCAGCAUAUCUUCGACCAAAAAUAACUGAACAUGAGGCAACGAAGAUAGUGGGACCUACUAAACGAUUACGGAUGCGAGAUUCGUUAUCACCCUGGUAAAGCCAAUAUUGUAGUUGAUGCCCUUAGCAGAAAAGAAUAUUCAGGGCACCGAGUAAAGUCAUUGACCAUGACAAUCCAUUCACAUCUGUCCACACAGAUCAAAGACGCUCAACCCGAGGCCUUGAAACCCGAAAAUGUGGCAGGUAAAACACUGAGAGGAAUGGAUAAAAAUUUCAAAGUCCGAAGUGGUGGAGUCUAUUGUUUCAUGAACCGGAUCUGGACACCAAAGUUUUGUGGUUAUAGAUACAAGGUUAAGAAUGAAUCCCACAAAAUCCGAUACUCCAUUCAUCCAGGUUCAGAAAAAAUGUAUAUAGACCUUAAGAAACUUUACCGGUGGCCUAGCAUGAAAGCCGAGAUUGCUACCUUUGUGGGCAAGUGCCUUACUUGUGCCAAAGUCAAGGUAGAGUACCAGAAACCUUCAGAGAUAUUGCAACAACCUGAAAUCCCUGAAUGGAAGUGGGAGCGGAUUACGAUGGAUUUCAUAACUUAGUUACCCAAGACAAAGGGUGGUUAUGAUACUAUUUGGGUAAUCAUUUAUAGAUUGACCAAAUCCUCACACUUCUUACCCAUAAAAGAAACCGACAAGAUGGAGAAACUAACAAGAACUUACAUUAGAGAAAUAGUUAGACUGCAUGGUGUGCCAAUAUCUUUCUGAUCGAGAUAGUAGAUUCACUUCUCGUUUCUGGCAGUCUUUACAAAACUCUCUGGGAACUAGGCUAGACAUGAGUACAACCUACCAUCCACAAACUGACGAACAAAGUGAGAGGACGAUUCAAACAUUAUAAGAUAUGUUGUGAGCUUGCAUGUUAGACUUUGGAAAGGCAUGGAAUACUCAUUUAUCCCUUAUCGAAUUCUAUUAUAAGAACAGUUAUCACACUAGCAUAAAGGUUGCUCCAUUCGAAGCCCUUUAUGGCCGCAAGUGCAGAUCACCUCUGUGUUGGGCUGAAGUGGGUGACACAAAGCUAUCUAGAGAUCAAACUAAUGACAGUGCUCACACUGGUCCGAAAACUAUUAGGGAAACCACGGAGAAAAUCAUAUAAAUCCGGGAGUGACUUAAAGCAUCCAGAGAUAGACAUAAAAGCUAUGCCGACAAAAGGAGAAAUCCCUUGGAAUUUCGGGUUGGUGACCGCGUCUUGUUGAAGGUCUCUCCCUGGAAAGGCAUGAUACGCUUUGGAAAGCAUGAAAAAUUAAAUCCAAGGUACAUAGGACCAUUUGAGAUUCUUGCCAGAAUCGGUCCGGUAGCAUACAAACUUUGACUACCUCAAAAACUAAGUAACAUUCAUCCUACCUUCCACAUUUCUAACUUGAAAAGUGUCUAUCCGAUGAGACUUUUGUAAUCCCACUCGAGGAAAUCGAAUUAUACGAGAGCCUCAACUUUGUGGAAGAACUCGUAAAUAUUCUAGACAGGGAAGUUAGGAAAAGCAAACAAAGUCGUAUCCCGAUAGUGAAGGUUCGCUGGAAUGAAAAACGGCGACCUGAAUUCACUUGGGAGCGGGAGGAUCAAAUGCAACAGAAAUAUCCUCAUUUGUUUCCCUAGUCUUUUUGUAAUAAUAUAGUCCUAAUUUCGGGAUGAAAUUCUCUCUAACGGCGGGAUAAUGUAACAACCUAAUAUUUCAAAUCAAUGUAAUAACGUAAGUCAAGCAUUUUAACUUAUUUUUAAUGAAAACAACAUCAAAAAUACAUUGUUCAAUAAUUUUUGUUGGGACGAGUAAUGUAAUAGAUAUUAUAAUGAGGUUUUCAAAAAUAUAAAGAACACUAAAAUUCAAGUUAUAACAAAAAGUUAUGACGAAUCGAAGAUCCGCGACAAAGCCAGUAAAACAAUGUUAAGCGUAAAAAGUGAAUUUUCAAUAAAAUGCUUUAUAGCUUUAACAAUAUAAAUAAAAGUCGUAGGAUAUGUUAAACCGUGAAUUUCCAUAAAAAGAACAUUCAAAUCUGACUUCGUAUGAGGAAGUCAGGAUUUUUAUAAGAUUUGACAUAAUAGUACACAGUCCAAAAGUCCGUUUAAAGAUCGAGUGAUUUUUAGACAACACAACUUAAACGAGAGUCUAAACGAAAGUUGUAGAGCAUAGUCUCACCUACGCAUGGAUAUAAAUAACAUCAAAAAUGAAGGUCGUGGGAAAAAGUUAUGAAUUUUUCAAAUUUGGAAAAAGAAAGUACGCCUCGCGUACAUGAGUACGCCCAGCGUACUCAGAAACAAGGCCUUAGAUUGGCCAUGUCGAUGCUCCGUCACCCCACCCUCGCAUGCAUGCCAUGCAUACAAACUAGCUCUAAUGGGUAACUACUAGGCUGGGCAAGUACGCUACACCCAGCAGACGCACGUACGCGCAGCAUACGGGGAGGCCUCAACCUCCUAUAAAUAGGAACUGAAGCCUUCGGGUUUUGUUGUUCAUUUUCAAACCUCUCUCUCUAUAUUACUCACUUUUAAGCCCCUCAAGACUACCUGACGCCCCGGUAACGUAUCCUAAUCCCAACGACAUCCUGAAGCCCCAAAGUUCUCGAAAAGCACACCUCUCUCCUGUCGAUGUGCUACCUGCGUAAAGCCUAGUCUUUCAUCAACUCAUCACUUCUAUAAAGUGAGUUCAUACCCCUGUAUUUUCAUAGUUUUUUCAAUUUUAGGGGGGUGGGGGUGGAAUACAAGUAUAAACAAUUAUUUUGUGUUACAAAAAAAUAGUUUCAAAAUGUGUGAAAAUAAUAUAUGGUCAUCAAAAAUAUUUCUCGAUGUUAAACUCUUUAAAUGAUUGAUAAACUAAUAUUUUUCCCAAAACUCAUAUAUAUAUAUANGGCUUAGGACUGAUAACUCACCUUGGGUCCUUUUCCUUGUUUAGAUGUGGGCUUAUAGUAUCGGUUAUUUGUUCGAAUAUCAUUUAAAUUUUACUUAUAUAUAAUAGUAUAUGUAUAUAAAUAUAAAAGUUAUUUCAUUCAAUUUAAUUACCCUUUGUAACAUGUUAAGCAAGGGGUUAAAUUGAUAAACAGUUUGUAUCAAUUCAGAAAUUAUAUAUAAAUUAUUGGGUUGUUACAAUAGAACGGUUUUAUGGGAUUAAAACUACUUUCCAUAUACAACAUAAAAUCUAGGAUUUUCUGGAACAGUUUACAUAUUCAAGAAAUAGAGAAAAUACUUUCAAAUAUAAGUACUUAUGCACUCACUCAACUUUAUUUUGAUACUCUCUUUUCAAAUUAUUUGUAUUCUUAGCGAACGAGUAGACAGGUACUCCCCGAGCUUUUGAGAAGAUGGAGCUAUAUUGAGUCAUGUCUUCGUCGUUUGUAUAACUAUUUUGGUGUCAAUAUACAUUUAUUGAACACAUGUAAAUAUUUGCAUUUCUUUUAAAUAAAAUGGUUGUUUGUACUUUGAUUACUAUGAUGCAUAUGUUGUGAUACUACAAAUUAAGUCCUCUACCACCGGACGUUUCCGCCGUCUGGUUUGGGGGUGUGACAAAUGCACCCUCAGCAAGAAAGUCUGUUAUGGGUGUAAUAAACAUUUCAUGAGACUACAAAAAGAAGAAGGAGGCGGGAAGGCCCAAUUUUCAACCGAAACCGAAGGCGAGAGCCUUCCAAAUGACACUGGAAGCUAUGAAGGAUGCACCGGAUGUCGCUUCAAGUACCUUUAUUGUAAAUGCAUCACCUGCCAAGAUAAUUUUUGAUUCUAGAGCGGAUUACUUCUUUAUAUCUCAUUAAUUUGGUGGGAGACUAGCAUUGUAUGUCGAUAAACUUGAUAAUGCUCUAGUUGUAGAAGUUGCUAGUGGCAAAUUUAUUACUGCUAGUGAUCAUUAAGAACGUCGUCAUCAACUUAAACAAAAACGAAUUCCAAGAAGAGCUACUACCAAUUAUGUUAAAUGGCUUCGAGAUCGUUCUAAGAAUGGAUUGGCUUAGUGCCAAUAAUGCCGAAAUAUUAUGCAGGAAGAAGAUAGUAAGAGUAAACCCACCUGGAAAAGAGUCAUUUAUGGUGUACGGAGACAAACGCAGAGUGAAUUAUGGAAUCAUUUCCCUGAUGAAAGCCAAAAAAAAAUGUUUAUCGAAAGGAGACACAUCAUACUUUGCAUUCGUGAUUGAUGCAAAGAAAGAAAAGAAAGAGCUGCAAAGAAUACCACUGGUGUGUGACUAUUUGGAAGUCUUUCCCGAAGAUCUUCUGGGAUUACCCCCUGAUAGACAAGUGGAGUUUUGAAUAGACUUAUUGCCAUGAUUAACACCGAUAGUAAAAGCACCACACCGAUUAGCACCGGUGGAGAUGAAGGAGCUUAUGACACAACUUUAGGAGUUGUUGGACAAUGGUUUCAUUAGACCUAGUUCAUAACGCUGGGGAGCUCUGGUGUUAUUCGUAAAGAAGAAGGAUGGAAGGAUGAAAAUGUGCAUAGAUUACAAGGAGCUAACCAUGGAAACAGUGAAGAACAAGUACCCAUUGUUGAGGAUUGAUGACCUAUUCGAUCACAUGUAAGAUUCGAGCUAUUUCUCAAAGAUUGAACUUAGGUCAGGAUAUCAUUAGCUGAAGGUGAGAGAGCAUGAUAUUGAGAAAACUAUGUUUAGAACAGGAUAUCAUCAGCUGAAGCUGAGAGAGCAUGCUAUUGAGAAAACUUCGUUUGGACUAACCAAUGCUCUAGAAACAUGCAUGGAUUUGAUGUACAGGGUUUUUAAACCAUUCCUCGAUAAAUCUGUGAUAGUGUUUAUACAUGAGAUUCUGAUUUACUCAAAGAGACAGGAAGAGCAUGGCAAGCAUCUACGAGAAGUGUUAGAAGUAUUAAAGAAGGAGAAGUUAUAUGCAAAGUUCUCCAAAUGUGAGUUUUGGAUUCGAGAAGUUCAAUUUUUGGGUCAUGUGGUUAACCAGGAAGGGAUAAUGGUUGACCCAACAAAUAUUGAAGCCGUGAUGAAGUGGGAACGAGCGAAAAGUCCCAUAGAGAAACGACGAAGCUUUCUAGGAUUAGCUGGAUAGUACCGAAGGUUUAUCCAUGGCUUUUCUUCGAUAGCUGCUCCAUUAACAGCUUUGACCCAUAAGGGAGCUGCAUAUGCGUGGAGUGAAAAACAUGAAGAAGCAUUUGAGAAGAUAAAGAAGAAGUUGUGUGAAGCACCAAUUCUUUCCUUGCCCGAUGGAGUUAAAGACUUCAUAGUUUAUAGCGAUGCAUCUGGGGUUGGGUAAGGUUGUGUUCUGACCCAAAGGGAAAAGGUGAUAGCAUAUGCAUCUCGACAAUUGAAAGAGCACGAAAAUAACUACUGCACUCAUGAUUUGGAGUUGCAAGCGGUAGUAUUCGCUAUAAAGAUAUGGAGGCAUUAUCUCUAUGGCACGAAGUUCAAAAUUUUCACUGUUCAUAAGAGUCUUUAGUACCUCUUUAAUCAGAAGGAAUUGAACAUGAGACUAUGAUGCUGGCUAGAGUUACUCAAGGAUUACGACUGUAAGAUACUUUACCACCCCGGUAAAGCAAAUGUUGUCACUAAUGCCCUAAGUCGAAAGGUAAACCUGUUGGAUUUUGUGACAUCCCCAAAAUCUCGGCCAGAAAAGACCGAUUUUCAUUUAUGCUUUUAAAUAUUUUCAGAGUAAAUCCUUUUGAUUUGAAAGAGUUGCGGAAUUUGUUCCCAAAAACAAAACAAUCUAGGCCAUUGCUUUCUCCACAUGUCUUGCCACCAGAUGGUGACAUGUGGCACCAAGUUGAGCCAUAUUUCAACCUAUAAAUAGAACCCCUCCCACCCUCAUUUCUUCACUCCUCCACCUUUCGCUUUCUCUCUUUAACUUCUAUUUNCAACUGAGGCACCUAGAUUAGGAAUGGCAACGGGGCGGGUUCGGGGCGGGGCAUGGUUUUCCAAACCCGCCCCGAUAUCUUUCGGGUUUCUUAUCGGGGCUCCCCAAUGGGUUCGGGUUUUCCAGUCGGGUUUCGGGUUUCUUAUCGGGUUUACAACAAUUCAUAACGAAAUCUUUAUUCCGUUUUAGGGUACCCCGAUGUCUUAUAAAAAAUAUGUGUUCUAGUCUCCCUUUUAAAUUAAAAAUAUGAUGAAUCACUUUGAUAAAAUUAAAUCGAUGUUAUAUUAAAAUUUAUUUUAUUUAAUUUUAGUGUAAUACAUCAAAACAUAAAAAAUGAUCGUUCACACCGGAUUGUUAAUAACUAAAAAGAUUUUCCACAGUAAGUAUUUUAUCUUUGAUGCGUGCCAUUAACAUAUAUAUAUAUAUAUAUAUANNNNNNNNNNNNNNNNNNAUAUAAUCGGGGUGGGUCGGGUCGGGGCGAGGAUAACCCACUCCCUGCCCUGAACCAGAUAAAAAACCCGAUAACGACCCGUUUCCCGACCCGAAAUAAUCAGGUUUCGGGUUUCCCCAUCGGGUUCGGGUUUUUUUGCCAUCCCUACCCCUAAAGCCCUUGGAAAAUCCCCUAGCGCUAGAAGAAAGCUUCGAAGCACCUGAUAGCUCCAAGAGAAAAAGCUUUUCGGCUUAAAAGCUCUGCUCAAGCGGUGCCCGAUUUUUAGUAAAACCAGCUAUAAGUGAGAUAUGCCUACCCUACUUUAAAUAUAGCUUAUAUUUAAAUAUAAUAUCAUUAUUAUGAACCUAUAAAUACGAUUUCUCUGUCAUUCAAAGUCGUUAUACUGAUUGAUGUACUUAUGGGAAUGAUGUCUAGGUUGUGAUUUUGUGAGGUGUUUAAAGUCUAAACAGUAUACUUUGUUUAUAAAUAGACCCUACGUCCAAUAGGAUCCUACGUGGUUGUUCCUUACUUGAUAGGUCAUGAAGUAGACUCUGAGUUAAUGAUGAGUCUAGAUUGAUAAUUAGUCGCAAUGAAUAUUACACGUAAAUCUAUUGGUAACGAUACUAGAUUUCAUCGAAGGAAAAUAAAUUAAGCAAAGCAUUGUCUGAGUUAAGAAUCACCACCUUAACAGGUGAGUGCAUAGUUACUUUCAUCUUACACAUAGAUGUGAAGUAUUUUAUAUAAAUUACAUGUUAUGGUCCAUGUUAUCUGUUUACUUGAUAUCUAUGUUGGAUGAACAUUUUUUAUACAAGUUUUAAAUGAUUUAAACUAUAUAUGUAUUUUAUAUCUACAAAAUUGUUGGGGUAAAACAUGGGUAAAUGAAAUAGAUGAUGUGUGAUAAGAUCAUGAGAGGACACGAUGUUAACGAUUAUCCAAUCAUCUAGCGGAGUAUAGAUGACAACCACGUACUAUUCUAGACAGUCCAGUGGAACGCUAGCAGGCACGCAACCUAUAGGUGUUUGUGAACGAUGUGUUCACCGGUGUACUCCAUCCCCCUCAUGGUUGCCUUACAGACAAUUAUUGCUGAGGAAACCCCUUUGCAUUAGUGCCCACUCCGAUGAAAAUCCUUAGGCUAGGUCCCUUAUAUUAAAUGCUUUAUGGACGUAAAGUGAGGAUAAUGGAAAUGGGUAAUCGGGUUUGUUGGGUUUGAUGAAAUUAAUAAACUUAUUCAUUGUAGGAUGAAAACCAUGUGUUUAUCAGGAUCCUAAGCCCGACCCACUCAGUUUCUUGUAUUACAGGUAGUGGCACAAAAAUAUAGUUGGAUGACUUGACGAGGGAUUAUGGAUUAUAGACCAGUAGAUAUAAAUAAAUGGUGUAAGACCUAAGUUGUUAUGUUUAUGCUUAUGAUCUGUAUCGAACAUGACAUCCCGAGGUUUUAAUAUAAUGAAAUAUAUUUCUUCGGAAUUGCUUUGAUAAAUUUUUUUAUCGUAUUCAUCUUUUGGGAACAAAUUCUGCAAUACUUUUCUUUAAAAGGGCACUCUUAUUUUCGAAUAAAACAUAAACAAAUCGGUCUUUUAUGGCCGUGAAAUUGGGGAUGUCAAAGUUCUUAUCAGAGCAUUAGUUUAAGCGAACUAGGAAUUUGUAGGAUUUCUAGACUUAAACUUAUAAUGCUAAACGAUGAUUGUAAGAUGAGUGUCUACUAUAUUUUAGACACAAGCACUAGCUUAUUUUUGGAAAUAUGCCUAACGAAGAAGUUAUGACAUGUCGAAGUUUUACGGCAAAAUCGGCACGACACCAGGAAUCGUAAAAAGUGAAUAAAAAGAACAUCAAAAUCUGACUUCGUAUGAGGAAGUUAGGAUUUUUCUAAGAUUUCGUAUAGCAGUAUACAACCUAGAAUUCUAAUUUCAGAUCGAGCGAUUUUUAGCCGAGACAACCUAAAUGAGAACGUCGAAAACGGAGUCUAAAUGAAAGUUGUAGAAGUUAUGAAUUUUACAUGGUCGUUAACAGUGUAAUAUUCUAAUAAUGUUUAAUUUAAGUCGAUCAAGAAUUAGCCGAUGGAGUCUAAACAAAAGUUGUAGAUUAUGUCUCCACCUACACGUAAAUAUAAAUAACAUCGAAAACGGAGCUCAUAUACGAUAGUUACGGGUUUUAGAGGUUGUUAGGGUGAUUUUGCGAAGGGGGUGACGUGGCUAUAUCUAGGCCAUUGCUUUCACCACAACUCUUGCCACGAUAUGGUGACAUGUGGUACCAAGUUGAGCCAUAUUUCUGCCUAUAAAUAGAACUCAUUCCACCCUCAUUUCUUCACUCCUCCACCUUUCUCUUUCUCUCUCUCUCUAACUUCUCUUUAAACCUCCCAACCCCCGCCCCCCCUCCCGAAAGCCCUAGGAAACUCCCCUAGCGCUAGAAGAAAGCUCUAUAGCACCCAAUAGCUCCAAGAAAAAAGAGCUUUUCGGCUUAAAAGCUCUACUCUAGCGGAGCCCAGUUUUUAGUUAAACCAGCUAUAAGUAAGAUACGCCUACCUUACUCUAAAUAUAACUUAAAUUUAAAUAUAAUAUCAUUAUUAUGAACCUAUAAAUAAGAUUUAUCAGUCAUUCAAAGUUGUUAUACUGAUUGAUCUACUUAUAGGAGUGAUAUCUAGGUUGUGAUUUAAUGAGGUGUUUAAAGUGGGAUUUCUAAACAUAACCUACCCCCGAUAUGAUCCUACCUGGUUGUUCCUUACUUGAUAGAUCAUGAAGUAGACUCUGAGUUAAUGAUGAGUCUAGACUGAUUAUUAGUUGCAAUGAAUAUUACACGUAAAUCUAGUGGUAAUGAUACUAGGUUUCAUCGAAGGAAAAUAAGUUAAGCAAAGCAUUGUCUGAGCUAAGAAUUACCACCUUAAUAGGUGAGUGCAUAGUUACUUUCAUCUUACACAUAGAUAGGAUGUAUUUUAUAUAAAUUACGUGUUAUGUGUGCAUAUUAUCCGUUUACUUGAUAUCUAUGUUGGAUGAACAUUUUUAUACAAGUUUUAAAUGAUUUAAACUGUAUAUCUAUUUUAUAUCUAAAAAAAAUGUUGGGGUAAAACAUGGGUAGAUGAAAUAGAUGAUGUGUGAUAAAAUGAUGAGAGGCCACGAUGUUGACGAUGAUCCAGUCAUCUAGCGGAGUAUAGACGAUGAUCAUAGACUAUUUUAGACAUUCCAGUGGAACACUAGCAGGCUCGCAACCUGUAGGUGUUUGUGAACGAUGUGUUCCCCGGUGUACUCCAUCCCCCUCGUGGUUGCCUUACGGAUAAUUAUUGUUGAGGAACCCCCUUUGCAGUAGUGUCCACCCCGAUGAAAAUCCAUAGGCUAGGUCCCUUAUAUUAGAUGCUUUAUGGACGUAAAGUGAGGAUAACGGAAACUAGUAAUCAGGUUUGUUGGGUUUGAUGAAAUUAAUAAACUUAUUUAUUUUGGGUUGAAAACCCUAUGUGCUCAUCAGGCUCCUAAGCCCGACCCACUCAGUUUCUUGUAUUACAGGUAGUGGCACAACAACAUAGUUGGAUGACUUGACAAGGGAUUCUGGAUUAUAGGCCAGUAGAUAUAAAUAAAUGGUGUAAGACGUAUGUUGUUAUGUUUAUGAUUCUGAUCUAUAUCGAACAUGACAUCCCGAGGUUUUAAUAUAAUGAAAUAUAUUUCUUCAGAAUUGCUUUGAUAAAUUUUUUUAUCGUAUUUAUCUUUUGGGAAGAAAUUCUGCAAUACUUUUCUUUCAAAGGGUACUCUUAUUUUCGAAUAAAACAUAAAAAAAAUCGGUCUUUUCUGGCCGUGAAAUUGGGGAUGUCAAAGUUCUUAUCAGAGCAUUAGUUUAAGCGAACUAGGAAUUUGUAGGAUUUCUAGACUUAAACAUAGAAUGCUAAACGAUGAUUGUAAGAUGAGUGUCUACUAUAUUUUAGACACAAGCACUAGCUUAUUUUUGGAAUUAUGUCUAAUGAAGAAGUUAUGACCUGUCGAAGUUUUGCGGCAAAACCGGCACAUCACUGGAAAUCGCAAAAAGUGAAUAAAAAGAAGAUAAAAAUCUGACUUUGUAUGAGGAAGUUAUGAUUUUUCUACAAUUUCGUAUAACAGUAUACAACCCGGAAUGCGAUUUUCAGAUCGAUCGAUUUUUAUCCAAGACAACCUAAAUGAGAACGUCGAAAACGGAGUCUAAAUGAAAGUUGUAGAAGUUAUGAAUUUUACACCGUCGUUAACAGUGUAAUAUUCUCAUAUUUUUUAAUUUAAAUCGGUCAAGAAUUUGUCGAUGGAGUCUAAACGAAAGUUGUAGAUUGUGUAUUCACCUACGUGUGGAUAUAAAUAACGUCGAAAAUGGAGCUCGUGUACGAUAGUUACGUGGUUUAGAGGUCGACAGGGUGUUGCUGCAAAAUGGGUGACGUGGAUGAAUCUAGGCCAUUGUUUUCUCCGCAAGUCUUGCCACCAAAUGGUGACAUGUGGCACCAAGUUGAGCCAUAUUUAAGCCUAUAAAUAGAACCCCUUUCACCCUCAUUUCUUCACUCCCCAACCUUUCGCUUUCUCUCUCUAACUUCUUUCUAAACCUCCCAACCCCUCCCCCCACCCUAAAGCCCUAGGAAACUCCCGUAGCGCACGAAGAAAGCUUCGGAGCGCCCGAAGGCUCCAAGAAAAAGAGCUUUUCGGCUCAAAAGCUCUUCUGCCGCGGAGCCCGGUUUUUAGUAAAACCCGCUAUAAGUGAGAUACACCUACCCUAAUUUAAAUAUAGCUUAUAUUUAAAUAUAAUAUCUUUAUUAUGAAACUAUAAAUAAGAUUUAUUAGUCAUUCAAAGUCGUUAUACUAAUUAAUCUACUUAGGGGAAUGAUGUCUAGGUUGUGAUUUAGUGAGGUGUUUAAAGUAGGAUAUCUAAACAAUAUACUUCGUAUACUAAACAGACCCUACCUCCGAUAUGAUCCUACCUGGUUGUUCCUUACUUGAUAGAUCAUGAAGCAGACUCUGAGUUAAUGAUGAAUCUAGACUAAUAAUUACUCGCAAUGAAUAUUAGACACAAAUCUAGUGGUAAUGAUACUAGUAUUCGUCAAAGGAAAAUAAAUUAAGCAAAGCGUUGUCUGAGUUCAGAAUCACCACCUUAACUGGUGAGUGCAUAGUUACUUUCAUCUUACACAACGAUACGAAGUAUUUUAUAUAAAUUACGUGUUAUGUAUGCAUAUUAUCUGUUUACUUGAUAUCUAUGCUGGAUGAACAUUUUUAUAUAUGUUUUAAAUGAUUUAAAUCGUAUAUGUAUUUUAUAUAUACAAAAAUGUUGUGGUAAAACAUGGGUAGAUGAAAUAGAUGAUGUGUGAUAAAAUGAUUAGAGGCCUCAUUGUUGUCGAUGAUCCAGUCAUCUAGUGGAGUACAGAUGACGACCACAGACUAUUCUAGAUAGUCCAGUGGAACGCUAGCAGGGUUCGCAACAUGUAGGUGUUUGUCAAUCAUGUGUUCACUGGUGUACUCCAGCCCCCUCAUGGUUACCUUACGGUUAAUUAUUGUUGAGGAACCCCCUUUGCAGUGGGGUCCACCCCAAUGAAAAUCCUUAGGAUAUGUCUCUUAUAUUAGAUGAUUUAGGGACAUAAAGUGAGGAUAACGGGAACGGGUAAUCGGGGGUAAUCCUCACCAAUUCCAGUCCUGUAAGCUUCUUUUGACCCACUUCAAUCCAAAACAAAGGUGUUCUACACUUCCUUUCAUAUAAUUCUCUAUACGGGGGAAUAUUAAUACUCGAAUGGAAACUAUUAUUAUACGCAAACUCUACUAAUUUCAAGUGAUCAUCCCAUCUACUACUAAAAUAAAUAGCACAUUCCCCCAACAUAUCUUCCAAUGUUUGAAUGUUCCGCUCAUUUCGGCCGUUUGUUUGGGGAUGAUAUAAUGUACUCAUAAUAAUUUUCGUCCCCAACUCUUCAUGUAAUGUGUGGCAAAACUGAGAAAUAAACGUUGGGUCACGAUCUGAAACUAUCGACAACGGAAUUCCAUGAAGUCUUACCACUUCAUCUACAUAAAACUUUACUAACUUCUCUAAACGAGUUGUCUCUCGAAUCGCAAAAAAUAAUGCACUCUUUUUCAAAUGGUCGACAAGACCCAAAUGGCAUCAUACCCUCGACUAGUUAUCGGCAAUUUAAUAAUGAAAUCCAUCGUGAUUUCGCCCCACCUUCCAGCUAGAAUUUGAAGAGAUUUAGUAUGUCCAUAUGGGGUCUAGUGCUCAAACUUGCCUUUAGCACAAGUCAAACACUCAUAAACAAAAUUGCCUACCGUUGGGUUCAUCCUAGGCCACCAAUACAUCUUCUUCCAAUCUUUAUAAGUCUUCAUACUCCCAUGAUAAAUGGAAUACUUGGACUUAUGUGCUUCCUCUAAAAUCAUCUUUCGAGAAUCUCUAAAAUCUUGUACCCAAACGCUUUUCUUGAAUGUUUUCAAACCACGAUCAUUUUCUUUGGAUUUUAUGUUUUUCUACAACUUUUCUUCCUGAACAUUCUCGGGCUUCAUUGCUUCCACUUGAUUUGAUCUAAUCUGCUCCAAAAUCGUGGAUACCAACUCUAUUCUCAUAUAUCUUCCCCUUACAAGGACUUUUGGGGCCUUCCGACUUAAAACAUUUGCCACUAUAUUUUCCUUUACCGUGUGAUAAAUGAUCUCACAAACAUAAUCACUGAUCAAUUCUAUCCACCUUCUCUGUCGCAUAUUCAAAUCUUUCUACGAGAACACGUACUAAAGACUCUUGUGAUCCAUGCACAACUUACAUUACAUACCGUACAAGUAAUGCCUCCAUAUUUUUAAAGCAAAAACUAUAGCUCCCAACUCUAAGUCAUGCGUCAAAUAUCUCGUCUUGGCUUCUUUCAAUUGUCGGGAAGCAUAGGUAUUUACCUUCCAUCGUAUCAUCACUAUAGACGACAAAAUCUUUGAUCCCAUCUGCAAAAGCUAACACCAAAGCUUCACAUAAUUUCUUCUUCAAAAUCAAGAAUGCGUCUUCUUUCUCUUGACCCCAUAAAGAAUUCACUGCUAUUCUCAUCAACUUAGUAAGGAAAUUAGCAAUUUGGGAAGAGUCUUAGAUAAAAAAAACAGUAGUAUCCGACUAAAACAAGAAAACUACACACUUCUGUAGGCGUCCUCAGGGGUCCAUAUUUCCUAACCGCUUCUAUCUUCACAGGAUCUACUGUGACAACCCAAAACUUUCAUUAUGUACGAUUGGUCAAUUCUUAUCAGUGUUAAUAUUCGAUUCUGUCACUUUUUAAUGCCAUUUAUGGGUUCAUUUAAGUGUUCUAAGCCUGAGUACAGUUGCGAAAGAGAUUAAGAAUGAGUUAACAUGUCGUAAAGAAGCAAAACUGGGCCAUACACCCUCCUAAGAGGUGUGUACGGCCGCACACCCACCCCCAGCCACACACUCCCCUUUUAUAUAUAGAGGUUGACCCCCUCAUUCAUUCCUUUCCUUUGGCUGCACACUACUUUCUCUCUCUACUCUCUCUCUCUCUCUAAAAAUAUCAUCCAAGAACACUCUAUGGGCCUCAAAAACGUGAACAAUUCCAUCAUUUAACUUUUUAUUCAGGUAAAACACCUAAAUCUAAGCCUAAAUUCAUCAUGUUCUUCAUCACUUGAAGGUGUACGGCCGCACACCUUCAUAAGGUGGCCGUACACACCUCAAAAACCAUCCAAAGUGAGAGUUUUGACCCUCUAUCUCCUAGUUGGACUUGGUUUGAGCCUUGAAACACAUAAAAAUCGACUUUUUGAGCAUAAACGAAGAGUGUAUGGCCGCGCACCCACUCUGUACGGCCGCACACUCCGGUGUGCAGCCGCACACACACCCUGGCCGCACUCCCUAGCCGCACACCCACUCUAUACGGACGCACACCCACCUUUAUGGCCAUACACCCACUUUAAUGAUCAUAUUUGGCCUUAAACUUGCAAAUAUCACUAAGUGUGGGACCUAAAACACUUAGUACAAGCGUUUCCAAGACCUUAAGGUGGUUUCUCGUCAUGAUUAGUCAUGAAAUACCCUAAUCUAAUAUGUAUAUGUAUUACCAUAUGAUUAUUAGGGUCCACUUGCAUACAAAACAUCAGUUGACACUCAGCACUCAUAUCAAUCACACACUCGAAUCCUACGUUAAACUGUGAGUUCAUACCCCUACACUUUUUCGAGCUUUUCAUGUUUUCAGGGGGGAAUACAAGCUAAACAUAAAAGUUUACAUAACGUAAAAUCUGAUGCAAUUACAAAGAUUUUCUAUCAAAAAAUUAGAUACUUUGUCCCUUUUGUAAUACGCGGAGCAUAAGGGACGUUUUCUAAUCAUAAUUGCAUAGUUUUCAAAAGAAUACAUGAACGUAACAAACCAUUCAAACUAUAAUAGGUAUAGUUUGGGAUUUCAUUACCAGCCUUACAGAUUUAAACUUCAUGCAAAGUCAAACACAUAAAUUAUGUCAGAUUUAGUCUAUCCAUUAAUACGAAUACAAAACUAGAGUAUCUUGCUAAAUAAUUAUUUUGUGUAUAAUUACUUAUACUCUACACCGUUACAAACGAUUUUGAACUCGAGAACAACUGAACAACACGUAAACUAGUUCAUACAGGAUUGUGAGACUUAUCUUCGUUAUGACCCUCGGGGUACCAAUAAAUCCUUUCCGGUAGUAGAACCAGAGUCUCCUAGAGGGAGAGUAUGAAACUUGUGAAUAAAUCUAUUCGGGACCGACAAUCCCACACCUGAAUUGUUAGCUACAGUUAGGCGGGCACGCCUGGGGUGACAAAUUUUGUAAUCAUACGACAGCUGAAGAAAUGUCAAUGAGGUCACCAGUCAUAUUAGUAUGGUUAUACGCCUCACAAUAUAUAUAAACUAACCUUUGUUUGUGGGAAUUCUUUCUUCUAUAGUUUUAUUUUAAGUAAUAAAACUACUAUACUUACUGGUGAUAGCCAGGGUUUUAGAACAAAGCUUACGUACCGGUGGUAACCAGGGUUUUCGAACCGAAAAAUACUUUUCCUACAGAAAUCAAUAAACAUGUUAGAAAAUAUUGGAUUUUCUUGGAAAACAUGCAUACAUAUUUCAGAACUUGGUAACAAUGGUUUUCGACACAAACGACGUUUACUUAUAAUGGAAAGAAACCAUUUAUACAAACUCAGUGACUAGUUUUCAAUACAAAAACAUGCUUAUGAACUCACCCUCUUUAUGUUGAUACGUUUUCAAAACUGCUUGUAUUCUCAGGGCAACGAUAGACAGGUACUUUGCCAAAUUUUGGAGAAGACGAAGCAUUUUGGAGACUCGUCUUUAUCUUUUGCUAUAUACUGUUAUGUACAAACUAUGUUCUCAAAACAGAUGUAAAUAUUCAUAUUGUAAUGUAAUGGUUGUGUUUACUUUGAUUGCUAUGAUACGAUUGUUGUGAUACUACGUAUGACGUCACCCGCCCUUGGACGUUUCCGCCGUUGUUUUUCUGACGAUUUGGGGGUGUGACAGAUUGGUAUCAGAGCUUUUGUUUAUAGUAAACUAAGUAUAUACCGAACGUCACAGGGUAUACAACUAUAAACACUAAGGGGCCGAAGUGCUCUGAACUAAAAGUAUACUUUUAAAAUAUAAGUAUUUUCACAAGAAGUAUACAAGUAUACCUACAUACCAGAAACCGUACCCUAAAAAGAAUCAAACAAAAGUAAUUGAUGUUAGACACUACGGUUAAACCUGGGCAGUUAUGUAAUUAUGUCUAGGGUCAAUAUAGCCUGAUCAACUAUAUUCAUUUGAGAUAUGACCAACAUGUGCUUGGAAGUUACUGUGGUGUUGCAGCAGGCCUAAAACUUACCAAGUAUUCCUACCACAAGAUAUUACUAGAACAAAACCUUCAUCAUAAAAUACUAUAGGAGUAUUUUAGUUAAAUCUGAAUGCAUUGUAGAAAUUCAUUCCAAGUGUUUCUACUCAUUCUUCCCUAGCGAUAGUUUACUUGCUUUAGUAACUCCUUCCUCUUUAUCGCUUAGUAGAACACUUUAUCUAUCAUGUAGAGAUAUAUCAUGUUUCAUAUCUCUUGGUUCUAAAGUCAAAGGGACUUAUCACCUUCUUUUUCCUGAUAUAGAACAAGAUGGCUCCAAAGAAAAGACCCAACAAAAAGAACAACAAUUCUUCAACGGAUCCAACGUCACCACCACCUCCUCAGUUCGAUCCCGCUAUGUUCCAGGUAGUUGUUACUUCCGUCGUGACUGCUGCGUUGUUACUAAUAAAUCUCGAUUGUUCUGGUGGUUCCAAGAGUGGUAUUCAUUCCCAAAAUCAUGAAGGGAGUCAAGGGCAUCAGAAGGAGUGCUCCUAUAAAGACUUCAUGACUGCAAAACCCACAUCUUUCGACGGCACUGGAGGUGUUAUUGCCUUGACUCGAUGGUUCGAGAAGAUCGAGUCUAUCUUCGAAAUAUGUUCCUGUUCAGAAGCCAACAAAGUGAAAUUCACCGCCUACAGUUUCACCAACAGAGCAUUGACCUAGUGGAAUAGUCGGGUCAAAUCCCUAACCCUACCAGUAGCAAAUGCUAUGGGUUAGGAGAGCUUGAAGAGCUCAUGCUUGCUGAGUACUGUCCAAGGGGCGAAAUGCAUUAACUGGAGCACGAACUAUGGAACCUAAAGUUGAAGGGUUCUGACAUUGCUGCUUAGACUUCAAGGUUUGAAGACCUAACACUUAUUUGACCGGGAAUGGUCACCCUGGAAAGCAAGAAAAUAGAGAGAUACAUUUGGGGAUUGACGCCCCCAACUCAAGGGAAUGUCUUGGCUGCCAGGACAAUCACUUUUGACAGCGCCAAGUGCCUAGAGCAGACUCUCAUAGAUCACGGGGUUGAUCUGGAUAAAGUAACAGCUGCUUCCGAACCAUUGAAAGGAAGUGGUGAGAAAAGAAAGUUUUUGAAGCAACGAAAGGGCCAGUCUUCGUAGGAGCCUUCCAAGAAACAACAAACUGUGACAGUCCACGCUGCCACUACUCCUGUCGCUCCUCCUGCAACUCAAGCACCUACCAGUGGAUAUACUGGUACCCUCCUUUGGUGCACCAAGUGCAGUUAUCAUCACCAUAUUCCCGGCCCAUGUUGUGAAAUGCUUUGCAACAACUAUGGCAAGAAGGGUCACACUGCUCGAAGCUGCAGAACACCAGCCCAACCAACCAAUCAGGCAUCCAGAGUAGGUGUUGGUCAAGUCUGUUAUGGCUGUGGCGAGGUCGGGCAUUACAAGAGAAACUACCCCAAAGCAACAAUAGUUGGAAACACCGGGAGAGUUCUAGCAAUGGGUCAAGAGGAGGCAGUCGUUGAUCCUACUACUGUUAUGGGUACAUUCCUCCUCGACAACUCUUAUGCAUGCAUUCUUUUCGAUUCUGGUGCGGAGAGAAGUUUUGUUAGUCAUGCAUUCAAGUAUCUUCUCAAACAUAAACCUCAAUCUUUAACCGAAACAUUUACCGUUAAGAUGGCUAAUGGUGAGAAAGAGAACACCAACGACAUAUUUAUCGGUUGUACCCUUACCCUAGACAAUCAUUCCUUUCCCAUCGACCUUAUGCCAGUUUCCAUAAAAAGCUUCGAUGUCAUCAUUGGCAUGGAUUGGUUGAGCCCCAAUCAUGUUGAUAUUCUUUGCUACGAAAAAGCCAUCCGCCUUAAUCUUCCCUCUGGUGAAACCCUUAUGAUCUAUGGUGAUAAACUCAGCUCAAGCCUUCGCAUCAUUUCGUGCAUAAAAGCUCAAAAACUUCUGCAGAAGGAGUGUCAUGCAUUCCUAGCCCAUGUUAUUAACGAGAAGAAGGAAGUUAAAGACCUCGAGAGCAUCCCCGAAGUCUGUAAUUUUCCUGAUGUCUUUCCUAAAGAGCUUCCGGGAAUCCCUCCUGAACGCGAAGUCGAGUUUCGCAUCGACUUAAUCCCCGGAGCUACCCCCGUAGCUAAGUCCCCAUAUCGCCUAGCGCCAGCAGAAAUGCAAGAGUUAUCCAGCCACCUCAAUGAGCUGCUCAACAAAGGAUUCAUCAGACCGAGUUCCUCACCCUAGGGAGCCCUGGUUUUAUUUGUGAAAAAGAAGGAUGGAUCUUUUCAGAUGUGCAUUGACUACUGUGAAUUGAACAAGAUCACCAUCAAAAACCGUUAUCCUCUUCCUCGGAUCGAUGACCUUUUCGACCAGCUUCAAGGAGCCAACUAUAUCUCCAAAAUAGACCUCAAAUCAGGGUACCAUCAGCUGCGAUUCCACGAAGGUGAUGUUCCUAAAGCAGGAUUCCGGACUCGCUAUGCUCACUACGAGUUCGUAGUAAUGCCUUUCGGUCUAACCAACGCACCGACAAUAUUCAUGGACCUGAUGAAUCGGGUGUGUCGUCUUUUCCUGGACAAGUUUGUUAUUGUGUUCAUAGACGAUAUACUUGUCUAUUCCAGAAGCAAGGAAGAUCACAAACAACGCUUGAGAUUAGUGUUGGAAACUCUAAGAAUGGAAAAGCUAUACACGAAAUUCUCUAAGUGUGAAUAUUGGAUUUGAAAAGUAACUUUCUUGGGUCACGUGGUAAGUGAGGAAGUUAUACACGUGGAUCCAUCCAAAAUCAAAGCGAUAGAGAACUGGUCAGCACCGAAGACACCCACAGAAAUUUGUCAAUUCUUGGGUCUCACUGGCUAUUAUCGCAGGAUUAUCCAGAACUUCUCCAUAAUUGCCAAACACUUAACCACUCUGACUCAGAAAGUUGUACCCUUUUGUUGGAGUGAAAAGCAAGACACUGCAUUCCAAACAUUGAAGCGAGCCUUGUGCAGCACGCCUAUCAUGUCUCUGCCCGAAGGGACAGAGGACUUCGUUGUCUACUGCGAUGCAUCCAACCAGGGCUUAGGCUAUGUGCUUAUGUAACGAGGAAAGGUUAUUGCUUAUGCCUUGAGGCCGCUAAAAGCACAUGAAGUCAAUUAUACAAAUCAUGACCUAGAGUUAGGAGCAGUGGUCUUCGCACUGAAGAUUUGGAGAUAUUACCUCUACAGAACCAAGUGCACAAUCUUCACUGACCAUAAAAUCCUACAACACAUCUUCGACCAGAAAGACUUAAACAUGAGACAACGGCGAUGGGUAGAACUACUCUGUGAUUAUGAGUGUGAAAUACGCUACCAUCCCAGCAAGGCCGACGUAGUAGCUGAUGCCCUCAGCCGAAAAGAAUACUCCGGUCGCAGUGUGAAAGCACUUACUAUGACCAUCCAUUCUCACUUAUCCGCACAAAUCAGAGGGGCUCGGCAGGAAGCCCUAAAACCAGAGAACGUGGCAGACGAAGCCUUAAGGGGGAUGGAGAAAAACUUAGAGAUCAAGGGAGACGGAUUCUGCUAUUUCAAGAACCGGAUCUGGACCCCAAAGUUUGGUGGAUAUAGAGAGGUUGUCAUGAACGAAGCUCACAAGACUAGAUACUCCGUUCACCCAGGAUCGAAUAAGAUGUAACUUGAUCUCAAGAAACUAUAUUGGUGGCCAAACAUGAAGGCCGAGAUUGCUACCUUCGUGGGAAAGUGUCUGACUUGCGCCAAGGUGAAGGUCGAAUAUCAGAAGCCCUCAGGUUUGCUGCAGCAGCCCGCGAAACCUAAGUGGAAGUGGGAGAGAAUUACCAUGGAUUUCAUUACCAAAUUACCUAAAUCUCCGAGUGGGUACGACACCAUCUGGGUAAUAGUCAAUCGGUUGACGAAAUCUGCUCACUUCCUGCCAAUCAAAGAAACUUUCAAGAUGGAAAGACUCACACGAAUCUACAUCCAAGAGGUAGUUCGACUGCACGGUGUGCCUGUAUCCAUUAUCUCCGAUCCAGAUAGCAGGUUCACUUCUAGAUUUUGGCAGUCCCUGCAGAAAGCUCUUGGAACUAAGCUGGAUAUGAGUACAGCCUACCAUCCUUAGACAGACAGACAGAGUGAGAGAACCAUCAAGACCUUAGAAGACAUGUUGAGAGCAUGUGUCAUCGACUUCGGUCAAUCGCUGGACACUCAUUUUCCCUUGGUUGAACUCUCUUACAACAAUAGUUAUCAUACCAGUAUCAAGAUUGCGCCUUUUGAAGCCCUCUAUGGCCGCAAGUGCAGAUCCCCUCUAUGUUGGGCUAAGGUGGGCGACACACAGCUAGCCAAGGGAAAAGUCCCUGAUAUCACUCUCACUGGUCCAGAAAUCAUCCACGAAACCACUGAAAAGAUCAUACAAAUCUGGGAACGAAUAAAAGCUUCACGAGAUCGACAAAAGAGAUACGCCAAUAAACGACGAAAACCCUUGGAGUUCCAGGUCGGAGACCAUGUCCUGCUGAAGGUCUCCCCCUGGAAAUGCAUGAUUCGCUUUGGAAAGCAUGGGAAACUAAAUUCGAGGUACAUAGGACCAUUCGAAAUCCUUUCUAGGAAUGGUCCUGUAGCCUACAAACUUCGUUUACCGCAUGAACUUGGCAACGUUCACCCUAUCGUCCACGUUUCGAAUCUCAAGAAAUGCCUAUCUGACGAAAACCUAGUGGUCCCUCUUGAUGAUAUUGAAAUCAAUGAAAACCUAAACUUCUUGGAAUAACCAAUCAAAAUCAUGGACCGGGAGGUCAAACGAACAAAACGAAGUCGUAUCCUGUUAGUGAAGGUUAGCUGGAAUGUGAAGCGGGGACCUGAAUUCACUUGGGAACACGAGGAUUCAAUGAAACAGAAGUACCCUCAUCUUUUUCCAAAUCCAUCAUUUGUAUCUUUAUUCAUGAAUUUCGGGACGCAAUUCCCUCUAACGGGGAGAUGAUGUGACAACCCGAAACUUUCAUUCUGUACGAUUGGUCAAUUUUAUCAGUGUUAAAUUCUUUUUCGUCACUUUUUAACGCCAUUUAAGGGUUCGUUUAAGUCUUUUAAGGCUGCGUACAGCUGGGAACGAGAUUAGGAAUGACUUAACAUGUCGUAAAGAAGCAAAAAUGGAUCAUACACCCUCCUGAGAGGUGUGUACGGCCGCACACCCACCCCCCAGCCACACACUCCCUUUUUAUAUAUAGGGGUGACCCCUUCAUUCAUUCCUUUCCUUUGGUUGCACACUACUUUCUCUCUCUACUCUCUCUCUCUCUCUCUCUAAAAAUAUCAUCCAAGAACACUCUAAGGGCCUCAAAAACAUGAAGAAUUCCAUCAUUUAACUUAUUAUUGUUGGAUUAAUGUCUAAGUCCAUAACUACAAUUGGUAAGACUUGACCCGACCCGGCAUGGUCCAUUUGGGUUGCAUGGCAUCAUGCAUUUGGAUAGACUAUAAUGAGAGAAAUAACACUUAAGGUUUGUUAAUAUAUUAUAAGUUAUAAUAUAUUAAUAAGAUUAUUUAAUUAGUAUUGAUCAAGAAUUAAUCUAGAAUUAAUUAAGUGAUCAAAAGAAAACUAAUUAAAUAUAUGGGUUGAUUGUGUAAAUCACCCAUACUUGUAUAGUGGGCUAAUGCUCCAUGGAUUGUCAAGUUGGGCUAAAACCCAUAAGAUGCUCCAUGGAUGCUCCAUGGUGUAUUUGAACCCAUGGAUCCAAGGAAAUGGAAAGCCAUAACAAUUAGGGUUUACCCUAAUUGUAACAACUAUAUAAGAUCAUAUUCUUUGACAAAAUCGGCCACUAAGUUAGGAAGAGAAGGGCUAGCCGAUUUUAGAAGUGUUCAAGUUUCUCUCAAGUUAUUCCAAGUGUAUUUGGUGUUGUGUGAACCAUUUGAGGUGUCACACUUGGGGCACUAGGCACUCAAGCUUCAUGAAGACUUUCUACACCAAAGAGGUAUGUAUUCUAUCUUGCUAUAGUCAUUGUUUUGUAUGCUAGAUUAGGAUAAUACCUUGGAAGUUCUUAUUUGCAUGUAUAAUAGAGAAAACAUAGAUCCAAGGUAUUUAGGGUUGCAUGUACACUUAGGAGUGUUAUAAUGCUCAAAACCCAACAGUGGUAUCAGAGCCUAGGCUUGCUUUCUCUUAUACUUGAUGCAAAUUGCUGAAAAAUGCUAAAAAAAUCGAUUUUCUGGCGUUCUGGGCGCUGGACUCGCCGAGUCCACUGAUGAACUCGCUGAGUCCACUGAUGCACUCGCCGAGUCCAUGAGUAAAAUCAUCCUACUCGUCGAGUAGGUUCAUGCACUCGACGAGUAGGAGCCCCAGACAGCAUAUAUUCGACGUUUUUGGCUAGAAAUGGACUAGGAACAUUACCCUAAGUUGUUUUUGAACUUAUAAACUUAUUUUUGAUGUGGUAAUGUUCAUGCUAAUCCAAUUUCAAAGAUAAUUGUCAAUAGAUUCAUGUUUUGUAUUAGUUUAAGGUUUAGACUAAUUACAUGAAAAAGUUUGAUUUGAAUUAUCUUGUUCUUAUGAGUUGCUUAGAUUAAUAGAAAAGUUGAGUGAAAUAGUUGUUUUCAAUCCAAAUUAAUCUAAGAGUUGAUUCUAAAAUGUGUUUUUGUAACUUGUCCUCAAGUUAUAUGAAAAGUCACAUUUAAGUUUCAUAAAACUCAUAAAAGUUGGCAAAGGUUACAAAAUGAAGAGUCUAGUUCUAAUUAAAUGGUUUUAUGACUCCAUAACUUGUCCUCAAGUUAUGGAGGUUCAAGAGUCACUUCAUUAAAUAAUAAAAAAAAAAAUGUAACCUUAAUUAGUUCCAUAAGUUACAAAAAAAAAAAAUUACAUUCUUUAAUAGUUUAGAGUCUUUCAUAACUUGUCCUCAAGUUAUGGAACUUGAAGAGUUUUUGGAUUAAAACUACUUUAAACACAUAAGUUAUGGAAUUAAUUAGUUUUGAAUAGUUUCAAAACUUGCCCUCAAGUUUUGGAAUUUGAAAAGUUUUCACUUAUGAAUACUUUAAUUCCAAGUUAGCCCUUAGAAUUUUAAAAGUUAAAAUUCAACCCUUAUACUUUAUAAUAUUAUAAGUUAAUAAUAUAUAUAUGUAUAAGAGUAAAGUCAGUCUUACCGCUAGUACGCCUCAUUCACGAAGCCGGUCUAUAAGGUGGGUAUAAGGUUGUUGCCUAUAAAAUGGCAACUUAAUGGGUGUCCACUCUCACCCACCGCUUGCUUGACUGGUGGAGGGUCGUUAGCCGAACGGGUUUGACAGGACUAGAAUUCUCCCUUCAUUAAAAGUAUUAAUGAUAAAUACUAAGUAACUAAACUCUUAAUAAUACCCAAUCUUAGUUACUUAGGAAAAAUGUGAAUAAGGUGCUAACCCAUGAAAUUACACUUUACACUUUGUCUAAGUCGUUAGUGGAGCGUGUGUGGUUAACCGGCACACUAACUUGGACUUAACAAGGUAGGUAAAGGGUGACUUAAUAUUUAUCAUAGUAUCGAUGGAGCGUGUGUGGUUAACCGGCACAUCGAUUGAGGGGUAAUUUAUUAAGGGUACCAAGUGAUUUGCAUGGUUACUUCACACCUUGUUUUGUGAUCCUCGGCAUCCCAGUCACAAAACCUGAAGGGCACACUCGAGAUUGAAACAUGCCUUUGAAAAGUUCAAUGAAUCUCAAAGAUCUAGGAGUUUCAAAACCAAUUAAAACCUAAUAAUACAUUUCGUUUAUCUUGGUGGAAAUUGGUGAAUCGUCAUUCACCUACCUUCAAAUAUUUUAUAGCUUGGAUUACGGCAUACCUCUUCUAAGUUAUAAAAUAGUUUGUUGGGUCCUAGCCUUAAUAUUUCAUAUUGGGUGUCAUAUUAAGGACUUUAAAUCAACUAUCUUGAAUAUCUCCCAAAAGAUGUCUGGUUUAGACACCUAUGAUCUUCCCAAAUCUCUUGAAACAAGGUUUCCUAAUGAAGAUGAUGUCCCAUGGAUAUCAUACUUCUUCACCUCUUCAAAUUAUUCUCCCUAACCCACAAGUUCUUGAAAAGUUUAAGGUCACUCAGGCCCUAUUGGCAAGGCAAGGUCUAGGUGUGGUCACAUCUUGGAGAUGUAGUCACAUAUUGACAAGCCGGGAGAGUUGGGUGUCAAAGUCUUGAGAAAGUUGGUGGUUCAACCACUUUCUAAGUCACAUAGUGAGUUCCUUUGGGACACCUAUGAAACAGACUAUGACAAGACCCUUAAUGAUCUUAUCUAUUUGCUAAGAUCAACUUCCUAAAACUUUAUGGACAUUGACAAUGAUGACAUUGGAUAUCCAGUAAAGCAUUCUCUUCCCAAUGGAAAGGGAUCGGCCAUAGUCAACUCGGUUGACCAAAUGGUAAAGAGAAAAGCUAAGUCUGUGAUAGUCCCGUGUACCAUUAUCAAAGGGUCCAUAUGUUUAUAUUGCCAAAGGAAGGGGCAUUGGUUGCGAAGCUGCCAAAUUUACCUAAGGAUGUUAAAGUCAAUAAGUUUGACUCUACUUCAGGUAAAGUCCACUAUCUAACUCUGUUAAGUUUCUAUUCUGAGAUUCUUGAUACAUGAUGUGACUGGGUCACAUGGUGAUGUUUUAAGAAUCAAAGAAAAGUGAAGAAACUUAAAGAAAGAAUAUGCUGAAUCUGAUGGCGUAGAUGGAUUUCUAUCGCAUAGUUUGAAGAUCGGAUUCUUGAGCUACUUCUUAGGAGUUAUGAGAUAUUGCUUAGGAAUAGAUAACAACAAGUUUUCAUAUGGAUUGUAAGGAUAAGUUUUUCCGCAAAGUUUUAAAAUAAAAGAAAAUUUUUUUGAUUUUAUUUAUUUUAAAAUAUCCUUACAAUGGCAUUUGAGGAAAAAUUGUUGCUUAUAUGAUUCCAUUAAGAGCAAGAGUGGAAAUAUGAAAUUGAUUCUUUCAUUUGUGGUAAUGUCUAAAUUUACCAAAUAAGGAAAGAUUCUCAUCACCCAAGUUUCAAUUGGACCGGAACUUGGAAUCAUGCAAGUUGUAUAGCAUGAUGAAUGAGAACUUUCAAGCAUUGGAAAAUUAAGACUAAUUACUUGUUCACAUGGAUGUGUGAGUCAAGUAAAUGACUAAGGGAUCGAGUACAAAUUCUUGUGCACUGAUCAAGCCCACCACAAAUAAUCGAUAAGACUAUUCGUCAUGAUUUACUAAAGUUUAGUAAAUAUGGUUAUACUUAUAGGAUUAAGUGUAAUUCUAAUACAUUGGAAAAUUUUCGAUGUAUGGCGCGAAUAAGAAGAAUCAAAUUAGGCAGAAGGAUAAAAGUUUCUCAAAUCUGAAAAAAUGGGAGAGUACUUUAGUAUCAUGUUAUAUGAUCAUCUUAAGGAUUAAGAGACCUUAUCACAAUUCAUACUCUAAGUGCAUUCUGAUAUCUAAGAAGAGGAGCUAGGAAUUGUUGAAGUGGUCAAAUCAAGAAGAUGAGUCAUACUUCGUUCCAAUACAAGUCUUAGAGUCAUACUCCAAGAUUGUCAUUUGAGUGACAUGUCUUAAAGAAGGUUUAAAACACUUGUCAAAUGUAAGAGUAAAAGUUUUCUACUCUUGUACAUUUGAAAUUGGUAAGUUGUGAUGUUUUGGAUAAAACAAAGACCAACUUAGGCCAAUUGGGUAAAGUGUUUUUCUUGAUUAGAAUCCGCACUAUCUCUUGGAUGUUUGACAAGGGAGUCUUAUAUGUCAAGAGGACAGUGGGAGUCUUAAAGGUCUUGAAAGUCUCAAGAACNUAUAACCUAUCGUGUUGACAUUUUUGUGCCCAUUCCAGUUAAAGUUGGCUUUGCAUAUGAGUUCUUAGAGUCCUCAAUUGGUUGCACAGCUACUUGGAAUCUAUGGCAGGCCCUUGUGCUGCCAAAUGGCAAGGACUUAAGAUUGCACAAGUUCAGUCCAUAUGUGUUUGGAUUUGUCAUUAUUCGUGUCUUGUGACUAAGGUUUUGACAAAUUCAUAUGGGUAGGAACUCAUACACCAUAAAAAUCUAAGUGUCAUAAGGUUUCUCUCCGAUUCAUGAAAAUGAUGGUGAGGAAACGCUUUCACUAAGUAGAUUUUACGAAGAUAUCAAUUGUGUUAUUUGCAUUUUCAAAAGUCG